rnacentral:rRNA from 1 species
UACGUAGGGGGGCAAGCGUUGUCCGGAUUUAUUGGGCGUAAAGAGCGUGUAGGCGGCCAGGUAGGUCGGUUGUGAAAACUGGAGGCUCAACCUUCAGAGGUCGACCGAAACCAUCUGGCUAGAGUCCGGGAGAGGAGAGUGGAAUUCCUGGUGUAGCGGUGAAAUGCGCAGAUAUCAGGAAGAACACCCGUGGCGAAAAGCGGCUCUCUGGAACGGUACUGACGCUGAGACGCGAAAAAGCGUGGGGGAGCGAACAGGG